rnacentral:tRNA from 1 species
GGGUCGUUAGCUCAGCUGGUAGAGCAGCGGACUUUUAAUCCGUUGGUCGCAGGUUCUGAAUCCCGCACGGCCUACCA